rnacentral:rRNA from 1 species
ACGAACGCUGGCGGCGUGCUUAACACAUGCAAGUCGUACGGUAAGGCCCUUUCGGGGGUACACGAGUGGCGAACGGGUGAGUAACACGUGAGUAACCUGCCCACAACUUUGGGAUAACGCUAGGAAACUGGUGCUAAUACUGGAUAUGUGCUCCUGCUGCAUGGUGGGGGUUGGAAAGCUCCGGCGGUUGUGGAUGGACUCGCGGCCUAUCAGCUUGUUGGUGGGGUAGUGGCCUACCAAGGCGGCGACGGGUAGCCGGCCUGAGAGGGUGACCGGCCACAUUGGGACUGAGAUACGGCCCAGACUCCUACGGGAGGCAGCAGUGGGGAAUAUUGCACAAUGGGCGCAAGCCCGAUGCAGCAACGCCGCGCGCGGGAUGACGGCCUUCGGGUUGUAAACCGCUUUCAGCAGGGACGAAGCUUUUUGUGACGGUACCUGCAGAAGAAGCACCGGCUAACUACGUG